GAUGAACGCUGGCGGCGUGCCUAAUACAUGCAAGUAGAACGCUGAAGGAGGAGCUUGCUCUUUCCGGAUGAGUUGCGAACGGGUGAGUAACGCGUAGGUAACCUGCCUGGUAGCGGGGGAUAACUAUUGGAAACGAUAGCUAAUACCGCAUAACAGUAGAUAUUGCAUGAUAUUUGCUUGAAAGGGGCAAUUGCUCCACUACCAGAUGGACCUGCGUUGUAUUAGCUAGUUGGUGAGGUAACGGCUCACCAAGGCGACGAUACAUAGCCGACCUGAGAGGGUGAUCGGCCACACUGGGACUGAGACACGGCCCAGACUCCUACGGGAGGCAGCAGUAGGGAAUCUUCGGCAAUGGACGGAAGUCUGACCGAGCAACGCCGCGGGAGUGAAGAAGGUUGUCGGAUCGUAAAGCUCUGUUGUAAGAGAAGAACGAGUGUGAGAGUGGAAAGUUCACACUGUGACGGUAUCUUACCAGAAAGGGACGGCUAACUACGUG
rnacentral:rRNA from 1 species